ACUGUAUGGUUGUCACACCACAGCCAGACAGUGACCCUCUAUUCCCGACCGCCUGGCCAGCUGGGACAAAUUACACAGGCCCUGUCCCGGCAGAUGGCGAGUCUCCCGUGGCUGUCAGCGAGAUGUCGCCCAGCCGGGCUCGACGGCAGACCAACACUCAGAGACCGAACACAUGCUGCUUCUGCUGGUGUUGCUGCUGUAGCUGCUCAUGUCUCACCGUUAGGAAUGAAGAGGACAGAGGUAGGAAAUCCCUGGAGACGCAUCUGGAGACCUUUCAAAACUGUGAAGAUUGCACCAAACCAACAUUAGAUGAGAUAAGUGUCUGGGCUCAGUCGUUCGAUAAGCUGAUGAAGAAUCCUGCAGGUCGAAACGUGUUCAGGGAGUUUUUAAGGACUGAGUACAGCGAGGAGAACAUGUUGUUCUGGCUGGCCUGUGAAGACCUCAAACAGGAGAUGAACAAGAACACAGUGGAGGAGAAGGCACGCAUGAUCUACGAGGACUACAUCUCUAUCCUGUCCCCCAAAGAGGUGAGUCUGGACUCCCGGGUGAGAGAGGUGAUUAACAGGAAGAUACAGGAGCCUACGCCCCACACCUUUGAGGACGCCCAGCUUCAGAUCUAUACCUUAAUGCACAGAGACUCCUAUCCUCGCUUCCUCAACUCGUCUAUAUACAGAUCACUGGUUCACCAUGGCUCCCACACCUCCUCAGAGUGCUAGCUCUGGACUGAAAGAUGGCCAACAAACAUUUCAUCCACUCUGUCCCUGGUGCUUCUGGGUAAAAUACUGUGAACUGAACUCCUCCCAUCACUGUCUCAAGUCAAAGAUAACAGAGUUCCUCUCCGCAGCUUCUGUUGUCAGAGGGCCAUCUGUUGGAUGCUAGAGGGACAGGAAGGAGGACAGGCUGGACAGGAAGGAAGACAGGCUGGACAGGAAAGAGGACAGGCUGGACAGGAAGGAAGACAGGCUGGACAGGAAGGAGGACAGGCUGGACAGGAGUCAACCCUCACAUAUCUAGAUUGAACAAAAAAUAUAAACGCAACAUGUAUGUUUAAUGAGCUGGAAUAAAACAUCCCAGAAAUGUUCCAUGCGCACAAUUUUUAAAAUGAUUUCUCUCAAAUUUUGUGCACAAAUGUUUUUACAUCCUUGUUAGUGAGCAUUUCUCCUUUCCCAAGAUAAUCCACCUGACAGGUCCGGCAUAUCAAGAAGCUGAUUAAACAGCAUGAUCAUUACACAUGUGCACCUUGUGCUGGGGAUAAUAAAAGGCCAUUUUGUUACACAACACAAUGCCACAGAUGUCUCAGGUUUUGAGGGAACGUGCAAUUGGCAUGGUGACUGGAGGAAUGUCCACCAGAGCUGUUACCAUAAGUCUACCAACGUCGCUUUUGAGAAUAUGGCAGUACAUCCAACUGGCCUCGCAACCGCAGACCACGUAACCACGGCCAACCCAGGACCUCCACAUCCGGCCUCUUCACCUGCGGGAUCGCCUGAGACCAGCCACCCGGACAGCUGAUGAAACUGUGGGUUUGUCUGAGACCAGCCACCCGGACAGCUGAUGAAACUGUGGGUUUGUCUGAGACCAGCCACCUGGACAGCUGAUGAAACUGUGGGUUUGUCUGAGACCAGCCACCUGGACAGCUGAUGAAACUGUGGGUUUGCACAUCUGAAGAAUUUCUGCACAAACUGUCAGAAACAGUUGUCUCAGGGAAGCUCAUCCGUGUGCUCAUAAUCCUCACCAGGGUCUUGACCUGACUGCAGAUUGGCAUCGUAACUGACUUCAGUGGGCAAAUGCUCCCCUUCGAUAGCAAACUGGCAAGUGGAAGUAGAAGUGUGCUCUUCACCGACGAAUCUCGGGUUUCAACUGUACCGGGCAGAUGGCAGACAGCAUGUGUGGCGUCAUGUGGGUGAGCGGUUUGCUGAUGUCAACGUUGUGAACAGAGUGCUCCAUUUACUCCACGUGUAACUCUUGUGUUGUUGUCUGUUCACACUGCUAUGCUUUAUCUUAUCUUACCUCAUUUGCACUCACUCUAUAUAGACUUUUUGUUUUAUUUUGUUCUACUGUAUUAUUGAAUGUAUGUUUUGUUCAUUCCAUGUGUAACUCUGUGUUGUUGUAUGUGUCAAAGUGCUUUGCUUUAUCUUGGCCAGGUCGCAGUUGCAAAUGAGAACUUGUUCUCAACUGGCCUACCUGGUUAAAUAAAGGUGUUCUCAACUGGC